ensembl:lncRNA
GCUUAAGUCAUUUGUGGAUUAAUGCUUAUUGUUGACGCGAACCGUUUCAAACGAUUCAGUUCGAUUUGGUGAACUGGUUCAAGAAGAUCCGGUUACAUCGAGUGAUUCGUUCGCGAACUGGAUAUCACUAAACUGCAGUGCUGUGAACUCGCUCACAACAGACCCGGGAGAGAAGUCAAUGCUGAAUAAAGUCGUAGUUUUUGAUAUUUUUGGACCAAAAUGUAUUUUCAAUGCUUCAAAAAAUUCUAACGGACCCUCUGAUGUCACAUGGACUACUUUGAAGAUGUUUUUAUUACCUUUCUGGACGUGGACAGUAUACCGUACAUACAUUCUCAAUGGAGGGACAGAAAGCUCUCGGACUAAAUCUAAAAUAUCUUAUACUGUGUUCCGAAGAUGAACGGAGGUCUCACGGGUUUGGAAAGACAUGAGGCCCAUCCAAGUGCACACACACAGCAGUGAACACACACCCGGAGCAGUGGGAGGUCAUAUUGCUGCAGCACCCGGGGAGCAGUUGGGGGUUCGGUGCCUUGCUCAAGGGUCUCCCCUCAGUUGUGGAACUGAAGGUGGAAGAGAGCGCUGGUUAUUCACUCAACAAAGUUAGUACUCAACAAACUUCACAUUAGCAUUCAAAUCGCUAUGCUAUUAAACUAGUCAUGCUAUUUUUCAGGUCAAGGGGAUCUGGAUGUAAAGCUGGAUGAUGCAAACCAUUUGCAUUCCCAUUAAACCCAAUGACAGUGGCUUGAAAAGCAUUCCUAUCUUUCAAGUGCAGUAAACACACAUAACGGCUGAAUGCUGGAGUUGUUUUCCAACAGACAUGAGGUGCGUCCCAAAUCACGUACUUAUGCACUAUUCUAUGAUGUUUUGUUGUAUAAAUAGUGCAAGCAGUGCAUUCACUGAAAAUUCCAUAAAAGAAAAAGUGCACUUUUAAUACCCGGAUAUAACACUUCAUGCACUCAACUGUAGCAGCUUUAAUGACGUACCGAAGGGGGAGGCGCUAUCAGACUGAUUAUGAAUGACAAAAUAACCUUAUAUAAUUCAUACACUACAUGACUGAGUACAUACAGUAGUGCAUAAGUACCUAGUGUAUGAGUGCAUAGUAUACAGUGUGUCAUUUGGGACGGAGCUAUGGUGAAGUGUUUUUUUGCAGGUCAUAUGUACCGUAUGUAAAUAUGACAUGUCUGUGUUUAUUUCUCUGACAGCUUUCAUCUCAGUAUAGGCUAUAUUAUUUCAUGUAUAAACUCUGUCAUGGAUAUCUAUCCAGAAAAUAUGUCUUUCCUCUUUCCCCUCAUUAGUUUAAAUGUUAAAAAUGAUGUUAUAUGGAUAGUCACACUCUCUCCUUAGAAAUGUCUCCUCUAUGGGAAUUUAAGAUGCUACCUGAACUGAAUCAUAAUGAAACGAUAUAUGCAGCAUAUUUAUAGCUGCUAAGGCCAGCAUCACUCUUUCAACUGAUAAUACUGAGGGUUAGUGAUUUAAACAAACUGUAACUGUAAGUAUUAAACUUUGGUUUUACAUGACUAAUUACCCUAACAGGGAACGUUCUUAAAACUUUACCUAGUUAGUUAGAUGUUCUGGCUAAACGUUCUUGAUGUUCGUCUUACAUUUUUUAAAUGUAGGCUACUAAUUGUUUCAGAUGUCCGGAGAGCGUUCAAAAGUAACAUUCCCAUGAUUUUUGCAAAAUCAUCAAAUGGAAUGUCCUUUUAAUGUUCAUAUAUAACUGAUAAUCUUUUUUAAAUGCUCAGAGAACAUUAACUAUUUUUUAUAACUCACUGGGAACGUUAGCAAAAUGAUCUUAUAACAUGUUUUUGUUAGCUGGGCCACCAGAUGAAUCAGGAAAAAAGAAGUGGGGAGUAAGCAACCACCUAGCAACCACCCAAAAUACCCUAGCAACCUCCUAAGCAUCCCAAAAACCCCAACUGCUUAGCAGUGUCCUGGCAACCACUCUGAACAAACUAGCAUUGUGAUGGCAAGUUUUGCAAGAGCAAACACUAAAAAUGUUAGCUUGUGCAGCUCCUGGGCCAUUUAGUGCUGUAGUAUCUUUUGUAUUCCACCCAAUAAUGUUC